GGCCUCGUAGUUGAGUUGGCUAGAAAGUUAACUGUAUGAAGCCUUUGCCUCGCCGGCAUGGGUUCGAAUCCCACCGAGGCCG
rnacentral:tRNA from 1 species